AAUGUUUUAGCUCAGUGGUUAGGACGUUGGGCUACUGAUCGGAAGGUCAUGAGUUCGAGCCCCAGCACCGCCA